rnacentral:rRNA from 1 species
UAAGUAAGUGGUGGAAAUUAAACCAAAUGGGAUAUCUUUAGUAAUUGCGAAUGAACAAGGAUAUGCUUAGCUUGACAAAUGGAGCUAUUGGCUUUGAAUUGUAUUGUGGAAAUGUAUUACCAACAGAGGUGCAGGUGCCAGCCUAUUGAAAUAAAGCGUCAAUGAGGGUGAGAAUCCUGUUUGUCAUGUGCAGCCCUUUGCGCACGGUGUAUAUUUGCUGAGUCACACUCCUUGGCAUUGGAAUGCAAAGUGGGUGGUAAGUUUCAUGUAAGGUAAACAUGCAAUUGAGACUGAUAGCACACAAGUACCAUGAGGGAAAUAUGAAAAGGACUUUGAAAAGAGAAUUAAAUGAGUUUGUAUUUGCUGAACACAAAGUAAACAGACUUGAUUUGCUUGGUGGGAGUGUUGCACUUGCUUGACAAGAGCUUUGGGCUGUGGGUGUAAUGAUUCUUUCUUUGCAUGCCAGUUUCUAUUUGUACAUCUGAUUACCUUUGCACAUGAAUGAUAAGUCUCCUGUGGGGGGUGGAUUGCAUGUGCAUGUAAUGAUUUGUGUUUUGAUAAAUGUGUCUGGUGUAUAUGUGUGUUCCUGUGCUUGGGGAUGCUUCCUUCCUUGGACUUACAAGCCCUGACACACACAUGCUGGCAAAAUGCUUUUGCUUGACCCG